rnacentral:rRNA from 1 species
UUGGAAUUGCUAGUAAUCGCGGAUCAGCAUGCCGCGGUGAAUACGUUCCCGGGGAUUGUACACACCGCCCGUCACACCAUGAGAGUCGGGAACACCCAAAGUCCGUAGUCUAACCGCAAGGAGGACGCGGCCUAAGGUGGGUUCGAUAAUUGGGGUGAAGUCGUAACAAGGUACC